CGGCACGGGUGAGUAACACGUAUCCAACCUGCCGUCUACUCUUGGACAGCCUUCUGAAGGAAGAUUAAUACAAGAUGGCAUCAUGAGUCCGCAUGUUCACAUGAUUAAAGGUAUUCCGGUAGACGAUGGGGAUGCGUUCAUUAGAUAGUAGGCGGGGUAACGGCCCACCUAGUCUUCGAUGGAUAGGGGUUCUGAGAGGAAGGUCCCCCACAUUGGAACUGAGACACGGUCCAA
rnacentral:rRNA from 1 species